GGAUACAAGGCGUACGCAUAAACCCGACAUUCUCUUAUUUUCGGCUUUUAUAUUUUUCAAUUACAUAUUCAUAUUCCCGCCCAUAGCACCCUCUUGCUCUCCUCCUCGUUUUUUUGACACAUCACUAAAGCGGAACCCUCACUCACUCCAAUCAUAACCCAAGACAAAUCUCCAAAAAUACUCGCAUCCAAACCCCCCUUAAAAAUUCAUCCACUCUUUCUCCGAUCUCUGAUAAAAGCAGUGUCAUUUUAUCGGAAUCGGAACCCUAGAAAUCCAGUUCAGUCGCCAUGAAUCAUUUCCAUAUCUAUGAAGCUAUUGGCCGUGGCAAAUACUCGAGUGUGUAUAAAGGUAGAAAGAAGAAGACGAUUGAGUAUUUCGCUGUUAAGAGUGUCGACAAGUCGCAGAAGAGGAAAGUUCUUCACGAAGUUAGGAUGCUUCACUCCUUGGAUCAUUCAAAUGUUUUAAAAUUUUACUCUUGGUACGAAACACCAUCUCACUUGUGGUUGGUUUUGGAAUAUUGUGUUGGUGGAGAUCUCAUGACCUUAUUGCGACAGGACAGUCAGCUGCCUGAAGACUCAAUUCAUGAUCUUGCCCGUGACUUAGUUAGAGCUUUGCAGUUCUUACACUCAAAAGGAAUCAUUUACUGUGAUUUAAAACCAUCAAAUAUCCUCUUAGAUGAGAAUGGACAUACAAAGCUAUGUGAUUUUGGAUUGGCAAGAAAAUUGAGCGAUAUAACAAAAACUCCUUCGUCCAUGUUGCCACAAGCAAAACGCGGAACACCCUGUUAUAUGGCUCCUGAACUAUUUGAGGAUGGGGGUGUCCAUUCAUAUGCAUCUGACUUUUGGGCUUUAGGCUGUGUACUGUAUGAGUGCUAUGCAGGGAGGCCUCCUUUUGUGGGAAGAGAAUUCACACAGCUAGUGAAAUCCAUACUCUCAGAUCCGCCACCACCCCUCCCCGGCACUCCAAGCCGUCCCUUUGCCAACUUAAUCAGUUCUCUUCUAGUAAAAGAUCCAGCUGAAAGAAUCCAGUGGAGCGAGCUUUGUGGACAUGCCUUCUGGAUGUCUAAAAUUUCUCCAGUGCCAUUACCUCCUCAAACGGCUUUUGAUAAUAUGAUUGAGCUUUGUGCUAAGCCUUGCCUCUCAGAACGUAAUGGUGACAGAUCUUUAGCAAAUAGGACCCCUCCUAAACAUCGUGAAAAAGAUGCAAAAGGGACCCCAAAACUGGAUGAGAAUUCUAUGUUAGGAUCAAGAGGUCAUGAGACACCAGUUAAAGGUACGCCAAGUGGCAGGAAAACUCAAACAAAGGCCUCUGGCAGGGUGGUUGAGGAGAAGCAGAAAGAUCCUUCCAAUGCUGCCAGGCGUGUUAAUCUCUUAAGGUUGUCAAGGAUAGCAAAAUCAAAUUUACAGAGGGAGAAUGAGAAGGAAAACUACAGGAGGCCGUUGCCCAAUGGCUCCGAGAAUGAUUCUGAGGUCAAAACUGAGAACACUGAUAUGGAGCUUGAUUUUAACGAGAACGCUGAAGACGAGACACAUGAUGAACCUGAUGGGUUAGAUAACCCAAACAGUACAGCAGAAGAGGUGGUCAACAACAUUCCCCAAUCGGAAACCUCUCCUGUGGUAAACACACCUGCCUCAGAUGAAUCAAGAACAAAUGAUCAGGAUUCAUCUUCAGAGCAUGUUGAUAUGGUUUCUACUCCACUCAGUGCUAGUCCUCAGCUCAGGAAUCAGAGAAAUAAAGAAGGUUUAGUGUCAGCCAUUGAGUUUGAUUCUUCAAAAUCAUCCCAUGACCUUUCACAGGUCCUUUGGCAUCCAUCUGAUCUGUCUGUCAGACCUGUAAUGCCCAGUAGAAAAGCUGAUAAAGUGUCAGAUGUUAUUCCCUCUCUUCCAUUCGAGGCCUUGCAACCAUCUGAUUUUGUAAGGAUGUCUAGGGAGCAGCUCGAUGCACUCACCAAUAAGAUCAUAUCCAUUUUAAAUGGAAACACUAGCAUCGGGGAGAAGUUGAAUGUAAUUAGAUACCUCGAGAUGUUGAGUAGCAAUGCUGACACAGCCAAUAUCCUGACAAAUGGGCCAAUAAUGCUCAUGCUCGUUAAAAUGCUUCGACUGUCCAAGACCCCAGCUUUGCGUGUUCAACUUGCUUCAUUGAUUGGCUUGUUAAUUCGUCAUUCAACUUUUAUUGAAGACGAUUUGGCAAAUUCUGGAAUUCUGGGCUCACUAACAGAUGGCCUUAGAGACAAGCAGGAAAAAGUUAGGAGAUUUUCCAUGGCUGCUUUAGGUGAGUUGCUGUUUUAUAUAUCCACCCAGAAUGAUCAGAGCAAAGAUAACAAUCCGCCAGAAUCUCCAUCAAAGGACAGCAGAUCCACAUUUGGCUGGCAGGUUCCAAACUCAUUGAUUUCAUUGGUGUCAUCCGUUUUACGUAAAGGAGAGGAUGAUAUAGCUCAACUUUAUGCAUUGAGGACAAUUGAAAACAUUUGCAGUCAAGGGGGACACUGGCCAGCUCGCUUCACUAGCCAGGAUGUGAUUAGUAACCUCUGUUAUAUAUAUAGAGCUGUAGGGAAACAGGAGAGCAUCAGGCUUACUGCAGGUUCAUGUUUAGUUCGCCUGACAAGAUUUAACCCUCCUAGCAUUCAAUCAGUCAUGGAGAAACUGUCUUUCAAGGAUACAGCAACUACCCUAGUCAAGGGCAGCCCACGUGAGCAGCAAAUAAGUUUGAACCUCUUAAACAUGGCUAUGCUUGGAAUUCAUAUGUUCACAAAUAUUGGACGGCACCUUUCAAACUUGGCAGAGGAUAAGAAUUUGGUCCCAAGUCUCGUGUCUCUUACUGAGCAGGGUAGUGACAUUUUGAGGGGAAAGACACUUCUUUUCAUUGCUCAUCUUUGUAAAAAUGCUAGGAGGUGUCUACCACACUUUUUUUGCAAUCCGAGGUUACUAUCUGCCGUGGAUAGGGUAGCAAAAGAGAAGGACAUCUAUCUCCAACAAAGUCUAGAUGCAUUUGUGCAUGCUGUGUCAUCUACUAUACCAAGUUUACUUGAUAUUAUAACAGGAGAUAUUCAGCAAAUGAUGGGAGGAAGGCGCCAUGGUCACAGCUCUGCCAUUGCACAUCGAAUUGCUCCAAAGACCAAUGUUCAUUUGUUUCCAGUUGUUCUUCAUCUUCUUGGAAGCACUUCUUUUAAGUUGAGGGUGGUGAGCCAUCAAGUUAUGCAGCAGCUGGCAAAUUUAGUCAAAGUCAUGGAGACACCAUUUCAGGGCAGAGAUGACUUCCAAAUAACUCUUCUUCGAGUUCUUGAAUCUGUUGCAGAGGAGCGCCUUGUCAUUCUUGAAAGCCCCAACAUUUUCAUUUGUGAAAUCCUUCCUGGUCUAGCUGUUCUGUACAAGGGCAACAAGGAUGGUGAUGCCAGAUUUUUGUGCCUUAAAAUUCUGUUUGAUGUGAUGAUCAUUUUCUUGAAUGAACCUUUGGAAGAUGACCAAAGAUCAGAGGCUUUAAAGUCCAUAUCCAUUAUUCAUUUCCUACCUCUCUACCCUACCUUUAUUGAAGAUGAAGAUCCCAUUCCCAUGUAUGCGCAGAAGCUCCUUGUGAUGCUCAUUGAGUUUAAUUACAUAAAAAUAUCAGACAUUCUACAUCUGAAGACAGUCACACAGUGCUUUGAGUUUUUGCUCGGUGACCUAUCAAGUGCAAAUGUCAAUAAUGUUCAGCUGUGUCUGGCUUUGGCAUCAGCUCCUGAAAUGGAAUCCAAGUUGCUUUCUCAAUUAAAAGUGGUUAGGAGGAUUGGAAACCUUUUAGAGUUUGUGUAUGCCAAGGACAUGGAAGAUUUUCUUGAGCCAACUCUUGGCCUGUGUAGGGCAUUCCUUCUAUGCUCGGUUGGCAGUAAAAGAGGAUUUGCCUACAAAAAAGAGCCAGCACUUCUGAAUGAUUCUUCUGAGGCAAGCACUGCAGUUGAUUUACAGCAAUGCAUAAGAGAUGUAAUGGACUUUGGUAGCAAUGUAGGUGUUUUGCUGGAGUUGAGUAGGUCCUGUGAGGCAAAUAUUGGAGAUAUAGCUUCUGAAUGUGUGUUGUUGUUGCUGAAGGCAGCUCCAAGGGAAGCCACAACUGGUUUUCUAACUAAUCUGCUGAAGGUUAGUACAAUCCUCGAGUCUUCGCGCAAGGGUGUUCCUCACUUAGUUUUGCAGCGGAUACUACAUGCUCUUGCUUAUUCUUGUCAGCAAUAUUUGUCACAUGCGAUGAUACUAUCCAUAUCCAUAAACGAGAUUUCAAGGAUUGAAGUUAUUCUUUUGGAGCUGAAAAAUUCAAGCCCCCCUGAUUUAGCCAGUGCAGCUUUGCUUGCGGCCUCAGAGUUGCAGCGCCUGCCUCGUUGCAUUUGAAGUCCUUGAGGUAUAAUGCAUGUUAGUUGGCUUGUAAAAGGACGAGAAAGUCAGGUUUCCUGAAUUCUAUAUAAAGGGUCAUGGUCCUGCCCCCUCAGUCUUGAGGUUUGAAAUUAUAGCUUCUAGCCUUAGAUACGGUGGCGUUAGAUUGUAGCAAGGUUCAGGGAACUGGAUGCUGACGGCAGAUGCUGUUACGUUCAAUUUGAUUCUUGAUACGGUCUUGGACCAUUUGAAGUUUUGGAGAUAAGUCGUAUCCUUACUCAUCCAUGUUAUCUUUGAUAAGCUUUGCUAUGGACAGCUGCGACCGCUUGCAUUGGUUGAGCCUAGCUGUCUGUGCUAACUACUGCUAAUCAUGCAUGGUGGUCCCAAGAAACCACGCGUGUGUGAUUUGUCUGCAUAGACAGGAUCAGUGACUACAUGCAGCCACAGCUGGUGUUGGCAAAAUUCAUCAUUGGUAAGUUGAGUGGUUGGCUUCAACCAAAUUUACCCUGUUCCUGCAUAGUUCCUUUUCAUAAAGAACUUUCAUCUAGGUCAAUUGGCCAGUAUGCUAAGAUGCAAGGCGUUUUAUCACUUGUACACUAUUAUUUGUCAGACCACAAAGUUGCUUUGGGUUAGAUAUAUGGGAUUAUUAUGAUCCUAAAAUUAGGGAAACCAAAUUCACGGGACACAAGGAAUCUACUCCAACAAACAUGUCACAACAAAAUUCAACCAAUCUUUGUCUCUUCCCCAUACAUGCCAACGUGCAAAUUCUCAUCAUCACCCAUUCAUCAUAUGCCACGUGGAACAGGACCCCGCCUAAUGAUGCCCUUUUAAAAUACCUCCAUCAUAACUGGCACCCAAAGAUCCCAUACUGUCAACUGGCACCCCUUUUUUUCUCAAACAAAACUUUCAUUACCCCCACAUUUUAUUACUCUGUCCAAGUAAGUGUGACAUUGAUUUCUUGAUCAUUAGAAUGGCCUCCUUUUGUUUUUUCAUAGUACUCAUUGUGCCUUUAAUGAUCUUUCCUUUGCUUUCUUCUUCCACUCAGCUAAAUUCAAAAACCUCGCCUUAUCCUAUCUCUACUUCACCACCAUUCCUAACCAAUCCUCCUCCACCAUCUCCUCUCCAAGAACUGUCACCGGACAUUGCUCCACUAUUGCCUUCUCCUGGUGGUGUGCUACCUUCCCCAACCGUAUCGUCGGUUCCCACCAUUCCCUCCACCCCAAGCCCGCCUAAUCCAGAUGAGGUGGUGGCACCAGGGCCUGCUUCUGCUUUCUCACCCCUAGGAGCAUUGCCGGCUUCCUCUGCAUCGCCACGAAAUUUGAUAAACUUUGCUAUUGCUGUGGGGUGUAUAGCAUAUUGGUCAAUCUAGAUUUUCAAAAUGUGAGUCAUUUGCUGGCUAAAUGAUUCGAACCUUUUGAAAAGAGUAAUUGAUCUUGUAGUUCUAGUAUUUCCAUGUUCAUCUUUCCUUAUUAUUCUUCUGAUGAGUUGAUGCAUUGCCAUAGACUGUCAAAUUUUUUUUCAAGGUAGACUAUCUUAAGUCACGAACUGGUUGCAUUCUUUAAUAUCUGCAUCUCUUGAGAAGCUAGUGCCUCUGCAAUUACGUCAUGUCAGUGUUUUGAUGCAUGUAGUAUCGGUUCUUGCCAGCAAAGGCUUCCCCUCCUGGAGUAGCAAUUGGAUUCCUGCUGGCACAUGGUUUUGAUCCGGAUCAAUAUGGAACAAACUAUUUCUAUUCCAUGUGCAUGUGAUCAGCACAAAAAAGACUAUGAAUUAGGUGAUCAUUUAUCGAAAAAUCUGUCACAUGUUAACUAAUCACGAUUAAUUUAAUAAUGCUUUUAUCUGCUGUCCA